GCCUGGGUGGCUCAGUCGGUGAAGCAUCUGACUUCAACUCAGGUCAUGAUCCCAGGCU
rnacentral:tRNA from 1 species